GGCAGGGGUGGGCGGGGGCAAUCCCGGAGACCGGCCGCGCCUCGAUCCCCGGCUCCUCAGCGCCGCUGCAGCAGCAGGUGCAACGCUUGCCCGCAGGCCCACAAGCGGGGCAGAGGGCCACGGCUCCGCGACCCUGCCGGCCGCGCCCGCCUGCACGCAUCCCGUCGUGCUCCGGGUGGUGGUUUUACUUGGGCCCUGGGCUGUCUUCACACCAUCACCCAGCAGGUCACAUUGAAUGGUGGCCUAGUGAAGCUGAGAAAACAACAAAGUAACUUGAUAUGCUGGUGAAUUAUGUCAAGCAGGUAUUCCUUUUAUUACAGCGCUGGGUUCAUGGGGAUCACUCCACCAACAUGCACAUUGAGAGAAGCAGUGGCUAUGUAUUUAAAGGCCUAAUGUAUACAUACCAAUACAUUCCAAGGACAUGGACAGAAAUUUCAAGAACUAACAAACAUAUCUGGUGGUUGUGGGAUGAAGGAUGAAGUCAUUCUCACUGUAAAUUUCCAGACUUUAAUGGUGGGGGUGGGGAGGGGGGGAGUAGCCCAAAUUAGUUCCCACUGAUGUUGCAUUGAGCUGCCAUCUUAUCUUCAACAACAGGACAUCUAUUCUACUUUCUUACCUUCACUUGACAACAAGCUCCAUAGCCUCCUCUGCAUUCUGUUCUUGAGCUUACAUCUACACAAGCCUCCAUCCUUCAAUUUAUAUCUGUUCAAGUUAUGCAAAAGGCUGUUCUCACUAUAUAGAAAAGCUGUUCUCAUGAUUCGGUCCCCCCUUUUCAAUAUCCUAGGCACAUUAUUUUUCCUGCAGUACCCCAUUGUCCAUUCUUGAAGUAUUUGACUGUUUCUACCUGGUGGUUCAUGUGAUGUCUCUUCCAGGUGGCAUAAUAGUCUAGGCCUUUCCAACAGCACCAGAGAGAGCACUGUACAAGUAUGCAAGUUAACACUACAAAGAUAAUUAGUAUUACCACGCUACAAACAGUUGCUUUAGCCAAGUGAAUUUAGGAAGCCAGCUAGUGAGUUUAUUCCAUGUGUUUGUAAACCCAAAUAAAGUAUCAUUCUGGGCCACCUGAUCUAAUAGGCUGCUUUUUUCCCAGAUUGCUUGUAUAUCCAUUUCUACCUCUUUUUCUUUAUUGAUAUAGGCAUAACAACUAGAAUUAAUUAGUGCACAUACAGCUCCUUCUUCAGCUGCUAAUAGGUCUAGGGCUUCUCAGUUCUGUUACACUAUCUUGCUUAGGGAUGAAUCUUCUACUUGCAGAUUUUCUCGGGCUCUUGCAUUUGCAUUCUCUGUUUGUUCCAUGGUGGCCAAAAUAUUGACAAUCACCUUCUCCAAUUUGCUAACCCCAAGGGAGGGUAUGUACCACCUCACAAAACUUUGGAAAGCUGUUGGUCUUUCAAUUAACAGAUUCCUAACACUUCUCUUCCAGUGGAUCACUUGGAAAAUUCUUAACAUAUACCCUCUGGAUUUAUAGAAUGGAUUGGAUGAUCCAGUCCCCUGGCUUGAGUCCAAGACCUGACCCUUAUUUGUAGGAUGGCUAUCUGUUGUUUAAGUAAGUUCAUCUUCUCUACCUGACUGCUUGCUUAGGGCCUAUGAGGGAUGUGUAGUUGCCAGUUGAUUCUCAGGAGCUUUCUAAUGUGUUGUUAUACCUGUUAACAAAAAUGAGUACUCUUAUCCUUUGAUAUCAUGUCAGGCACCCAAGCCUAGGCAUUAUUUCUUUCAAUUAUAUCUGUGAAACCUCCCUUUCCUUGUCUGUCCUUUGAGGAAAGGCUUCUUGACAACCUGAAAAACUGUCUGUCAGCAUUAAUAAGUACCAAUAACCCCCUUUUCUAGAAAAUUCUGAUCAAGUUACCAUUGUUGUCCUAGAAGGUUCCCUUUCUCAAUAGGCCCCACUUGCACCCACUUCCUGCUACUAGGAUUGUACAAUUACUUUGUUCAAAUACUUAAAAAGAGUGUCUAUCCCCUCCAGUAUGUUAUACUAUAUGCCCUUAGAAUCAAUUGCCAUAAGAUACUAAGGGGUACAACAAUGCGUCCAUCUGAGUAUACACCCAUCUGUCAGCUGGAUCUCUUCCAUUCUAAAUCAUUAAUUAGAUUCCUGUCCUCUCUAGAAUACUUCACAGGUUCUGACGCAGGUUCAGAAAUCUGAAGCUUACCAUCUGGAAUUAAAGCCAGUUCACCAUUUUUUUCCCUUCAGCUGACUGUUUUGCCACCUGAUCCACCCUCUUACUUCCAAUUUCCUGUACAGUGACCUUUCUGAUGUCUUUUACAAUGUAUAACAGCCAUGCUUUUCAGUAGAUUUACAUCAUACUGAAUUUGUUUUCAUUGUGUGUCAGUGAUCUUCAAUCUUUCCAGAUGGUACUUUGAGUGUGUACCAUCCCAAAUGCAAACUUAGAAUCUGUCCAUAUAUUUAAGACUUUUGUCAAGGCAGUUAUUUCAGCCUUCUGGGCAGAAGUCCCCACAGGUAAUGGUUUUCUUUUGGUUACCUUGUCAGUAGUAGCUACUGCAUAACUUGCUUUAUGGUUUCUUUGUCUUACAAAACUGCUUCCGUCAAUGAAUUCAGGAAUCCUCAGCAUUGUCCAGUGCUUCCUCCUGUAGGUCUGGCCAGCUGACAUAGUCUCCAAGCAGUCACGCACUGCUGGCUCAGAGGCAGCCCUGUGUCAGUGUUCUGGGUGUUUGGCAAAUUGCUUCUUUCCAUCCUGUUCCAACGUCUCUAUGAUCAGUUAGGCUUUCUGUUGAGAAACUCGAUAACCAUUUACACAAAGAAAAUUCAGCACAUUCACAGUCUAUUGUACACAGUCCUCUUUUGUUACUGUGGCAUCCACAUACUGCAGUAAAAUUCCACCUUGGGAUGGAGGAACCCAAGUCUCGGGGUCACAAGCUGUCUGGUUCUCAAAAAUCUUUGAGCUGUUCUUACAACCCUGGGUAACACUGUCCAAGUUAACUGAGUCUUUUCUCCCUGUAUUGGGGUUUUCCUACUCAAAGGAGACUUUCUUUGGCAAAACCAGGCAGAAAAAGCCAUUCUUCAAAUCCAGAACAGUAAACCACACCUACUAAUUCCUUAACCUGGUUAAUGAAUUGUAUGGAUUUGCCACCACUAGGUGUAUAUCUUCAACAAUUCUAUUAAUUGCCCUCAAAUCUUGUACCAAACUAUAGCUCUUGCCAUCCAAUUUUCUACUGGCAAGAUUGGGGUGUUGUAUUUGGUUUCACAUUCAAUUAAAAAUCAAAACUCCAAAAAGUUAUCUAUUAUUUCUUAUAUCCAUUAUUUCUUAUUAUUUCAUAUUACAUUAUUUCUUAUAUCUUAUUUCUUCUUAUCCUUUCUUGUAUCCUCAAAGGGCACUGCUUUACCCUGACUGAACUGGCUCCUUUUUUUAACUUAACUUCUAUUGGGGCUGCAUUUUUGGCUCUGCCAGGCAUCCCUGAUGCCUGCAUUCUCCUCUGGGGUGGCUGCAGGUAUUAAUACAGCAGUGAAACCUUCCAGGAAUAGGUAAGGCUAAGCAACUCCUGAGGGACAUAGCUAUGACAUGAUAUUUCAAGGGAAGAAAUUAUGUUUCUUAACUUCUUUUGCAUUGUACAAAUUCCAGGCAGUUCUUAGAACAGAUGAGGAAAAUCACAGGAGUUUGCCAGGCAUUCCCAGGGAGCUUAUGGUCUGUAUGAUCUUCCCAAAGCCCAGAGCAGCACCAAGGAGCUGUAGUGAAGUCCAGCAUCCAGGCAGAAAGCCCGCUGCUUUUGCUGUGCAUACCUAGGCUAGAUCUCACCACCUUUAUAAAUCAUACUGUUCAUCGUACAGCAUAGUUUUCAGUCUCCAGUCUCAGUAAAGCUUACAGACUGUUUUGAUAUGUCUCGCAGAUCUAAGGGUUGGAGGGAAAACAGGGAUUGGUGUCUGGACUUUGUGCAAAUACCAGUAUCUCAGUAGGGUUCAGGGUCUCCUUUCAAGGCAAUUGUAUUACCCACAGCAUUAAGGCAUUGAAAAUGCUGUAACAGUAGCAGUUAGAAAUACAAAACAAGUAACAGAAAUGGCACCACUGAAAAUUCCGAUCAGUUCCUAUUACAAGUAAUAUCUUUCAUAGUUUUUGAAAACAAAUGGCCCACAGAUGUGCUGCUUUCAGUCUGGGAGGUUUUCCAGAGGUCUAUAACAUUGGUCUGGUUUGUACGUGAAUUGGUAGAGUACGGCUAAAGUCAUUGAUCCUCACAGUUAUUAUAACUGGAUUUGUUUUGCUAAAGAUGAUCAUCAUCCUUCAAAUAACACAUGGUGCUGCAAUGGGAUCGUGUAGUGAGUAACUAUCAAGGAAUGUCCACAGCAACUUUAUAAUUGACAUUCUAAAUGCAUGCAUAAAACAUACUUCUUAAAAGCUCCAUUAUAAGCAUAAUAACCUUCAAAAGAACAUAUAAUGUAUGCAAUGAAAUAAUAAUAUGUAAUGAGUGCCUCAAUCACAGUAUACCUAAUCCUGAAAUCACAUUCAGGGGCAUAUACACUAGGUAAACUGAAUCAAAGCUGUGCUGGGGAAAAACAGAAAAAAGCUAUUAAGGAAAAGUUAAAGAAAGCUUUAACAACAGACUGCUCUUAAAGUCCUUAAUUAAGGACUUUAAGGAAGGUCCUAAUUAAGGACCUCAGGAAGAAACAAGUUGCAGAGCAGGGGAAGAGCAAGGUAUGAAGGCAGACUGGAGCUGUCCAGGAAGCUGGGUCUGAAGCUGGGACAGAGAAGUUCAAGAGUGAGUGAACAGGUGGCAGGUAUUUAGUCAGAGCAGGAACAGGGAAGUUUGCAGACCAAGAUAUAAUGCAUUGGAUAGGUCAGUGGCAGAGUAUGUGAAAUAAUGAAUGGGUGAGAGAAUAAAAAUAUAAAUAGUUGGGUUGAAAGCAUAUGAGUAUGUGAACAGCUCUAAACAACAUUCAGCUAUACUGUUUUAUGGCUAGAUAGCUUAUGAUUUUGUGGCUUUUCAGAUGAUUUUUCUUUGGUAUCAAUCAAGGCUGGGGAAAAAUAACAUGCAUUCCUGAAAAGAAAAACAUACAAAAAAAGUCUUCAACAAACAAUCUUGGGAAAAUAGAUUGAUGAAAGUAUUGAUUUUAAAUAUGAUUUAUAGUAAUGACAAUAAAAAUAAUUUUGGAAACCCUAUACAGAAAAAAUAAGCAUACAAAAGGCACUUAGAAGCACACAAACACUGUCUACUACAUUCAUGCUGCUUAAUACUAACAUUAUUAAACUAACAAUGAUACAGGCAUAAAAUUAUUUGCACAAUAGGAAAAUGUUAUUAACUCUUUGUCAUAGCUAGGAGGAUGAUACACGAGAACUUGAAGUGAUUUAUGCAAUAUUAAAGAUUAAGUCAGUAAAGAUCCAUAGACAGAUAAAACCUUGACCUUCUAUAUCUGUAUCUUCCCCAUCAGGCAGAGAAAAUACACUACCAUUCACUUUUGCAAUUACAGAGGCAGUGGAACUGAAUUACAAUAAUCAAAAGGCAUUAUCUCCUGACACUGUGGAUUGUUAUUGUUUUUUUGUUGUUGUUGUUGUUUUUGUCUAAACACUUCCUACGUCAUUAUGGAUAAACACAGCAAUUAUGUAGACUAUAUACUCCACGAUUUAAAAGCUGUCUCUGUAUUUACCAUGUGUCUUCUUGUAUGUCUAAGACAGGAGAGGGGGAAAAGUAUGUGCUGCACAGGCAUUUGUAGUUAGAUUGUGUGCUGCAGAGGAAGUGCGUGAUUGGACUGCAUGGGUGAGGAGAGUGUCUUUGUCCUCUUUUCAUGAGUAUAGUGGCCAAGAGUACCACAGAGAAUAAUUUCUUUUUCUAAUCUCUUUAAUUCCUAAUCUGCAAGAACGGAGACUUGGUGGAGCUACGCUGUCAGUGUCCAGCCAAAGAGCAGUCUCCACGAAGUCUCCCUGCAAAAGCCUGCAAAGUUCGCUGAAGGGAUGGGGGACAGACUGAUUUUAGCAAAGGGCUGCAAAAAGAUUAUAGGAAUCCCCCUCAGUAUGAUUCUGUGUAAAAGUCCCUAAUUUACAAGGAGCGCUCACUAGCAAAAUGUAUUAUUGACAUGCUUUGCUCACAGACUAAACAGCAACAGCUAAAAUAAAUAAUAGCUUUCACGUAUCAGUA